GACGAACGCUGGCGGCGUGCCUAAUACAUGCAAGUAGAACGCUGAAGGAGGAGCUUGCUCUUCUGGAUGAGUUGCGAACGGGUGAGUAACGCGUAGGUAACCUGCCUGGUAGCGGGGGAUAACUAUUGGAAACGAUAGCUAAUACCGCAUAACAGUAGAUGUUGCAUGACAUUUGCUUAAAAGGUGCAAUUGCACCACUACCAGAUGGACCUGCGUUGUAUUAGCUAGUUGGUGGGGUAACGGCUCACCAAGGCGACGAUACAUAGCCGACCUGAGAGGGUGAUCGGCCACACUGGGACUGAGACACGGCCCAGACUCCUACGGGAGGCAGCAGUAGGGAAUCUUCGGCAAUGGACGGAAGUCUGACCGAGCAACGCCGCGUGAGUGAAGAAGGUUUUCGGAUCGUAAAGCUCGGUUGUAAGAGAAGAACGAGUGUGAGAGUGGAAAGUUCACACUGUGACGGUAUCUUACCAGAAAGGGACGGCUAACUACGUG
rnacentral:rRNA from 1 species